CCUACGGGUGGCAGCAGUGAGGAAUAUUGGUCAAUGGGCGCGAGCCUGAACCAGCCAAGUAGCGUGAAGGAUGACUGCCCUACGGGUUGUAAACUUCUUUUAUAAAGGAAUAAAGUGGGGCACGUGUGCCUUGUCUUAGGUACUUUAUGAAUAAGGCUCGGCUAACUCCGUGCCAGCAGCCGCGGGAAUACGGAGGAUCCGAGCGUUAUCCGGAUUUAUUUGGGUUAAAGGGAGCGUAGAUGGGUUGUUAAGUCCGUUGUGAAAGUUUGCGGGUCAACCGUAAAAUUGCAAUUGAUACUGGCAGUCUUGAGUACAGUUGAGGUAGGCGGAAUUCGUGGUGUAGCGGUGAAAUGCUUAGAUAUCACGAAGAACUCCGAUUGCGAAGGCAGCUUACUAACCUGCCACUGACAUUGAUGCUCGAAAGUGUGGGUAUCAAACAGGAUUAGAUACCCCAGUAGUC
rnacentral:rRNA from 1 species